rnacentral:rRNA from 1 species
CAAGGAAUUUUCGGCAAUGGGCGCAAGCCUGACCGAGCAACGUCGCGUGGAGGAUGACGGCUUUCGGGUUGUAAACUCCUUUUGUGGGGGAUGACAUCGACAGUACCCCGCGAAUAAGCCCCGGCUAACUCCGUGCCAGCAGCCGCGGUAAGACGGAGGGGGCAAGCGUUGUCCGGACUCACUGGGCGUAAAGGGUGCGUAGGCGGUUGUGUGCGUCGGCGCUGAAAUCACAGGGCUUAACUCUGUGGCGCGUGCCGAUACGACACGACUUGAGGCUCUGAGAGGGUGGCGGAACUCCUGGUGUAGUGGUGAAAUGCGUAGAGAUCAGGAAGAACACCCGUGGCGCAAGCGGCCACCUGGCAGAGACCUGACGCUGAGGCACGAAAGCGUGGGGAGCGAACCGG